rnacentral:tRNA from 1 species
GAGGGUAUAGCUCAGUGAUAGAAUGUGUUCCUGGCAUGCAUGAGGUUCUGGGUUCGAUCCCCAGUACCUCA